AUUCGUAUUAGUCCCAUUAGUUCACUGGAGCCAUUGUUUCGCGGCAUUUUGUUGAUCGUGUGUGUACUGGCAUCAUUUUAAGUUUUUGGAAAUAUCGAAUUGAUUAAUUUUGCAAAUCUUGCCCAUAGACCAGAUAUUCCUAGACAUACGCAAUAUGUGGAUCCGGUUACUUGUCGGUACUGCCUUCUUCGCCACAACAUCCGGUCUCCUGGUUUACGUUCGACAUAUAGAAAAAGUCCUUCGAAAUGGUAUGGACGACUAUGACGAUGAGCUGAGAGAGAAUAUGGAAACUGAAACAACGAACCUUAGACGUGCCAUUGAAAACCAUGAAAGGCGGAUGCAACGUCUCGAAACGCUACUUGAAAAUGCAGAAAUACGAGAACUAUAGUGUGCGAAUGUGUUUGACUGAUUCAAUUUUAUUGUAAUUUAUUUGCAACGAAAGUUAAACUUGUUCUGUCCUUUAUAUUGAAAGUCAAAUUAUUAUUUUUUCAAGUACUUUUAAGUACUCAAUAUAAUACAAAUAAAUGACGCAAUUAAUGAGAAGGC